rnacentral:rRNA from 1 species
UACGAAGGGGGCUAGCGUUGCUCGGAAUCACUGGGCGUAAAGGGUGCGUAGGCGGGUUUUAAGUCAGGGGUGAAAUCCUGGAGCUCAACUCCAGAACUGCCUUUGAUACUGAAGAUCUUGAGUCCGGGAGAGGUGAGUGGAACUGCGAGUGUAGAGGUGAAAUUCGUAGAUAUUCGCAAGAACACCAGUGGCGAAGGCGGAUCUCUGGACAGCUCCUGACGCUGAGGCGCGAAGGCUAGGGGAGCAAACGGGG